rnacentral:rRNA from 1 species
GGUCUUGGCGGCAGCUACACAUGCAGUCGAGCGGUAGAGAGAAGCUUGCUUCUCUUGAGAGCGGCGGACGGGUGAGUAAUGCCUAGGAAUCUGCCUGGUAGUGGGGGAUAACGUUCGGAAACGGACGCUAAUACCGCAUACGUCCUACGGGAGAAAGCAGGGGACCUUCGGGCCUUGCGCUAUCAGAUGAGCCUAGGUCGGAUUAGCUAGUUGGUGGGGUAAUGGCUCACCAAGGCGACGAUCCGUAACUGGUCUGAGAGGAUGAUCAGUCACACUGGAACUGAGACACGGUCCAGACUCCUACGGGAGGCAGCAGUGGGGAAUAUUGGACAAUGGGCGAAAGCCUGAUCCAGCCAUGCCGCGUGUGUGAAGAAGGUCUUCGGAUUGUAAAGCACUUUAAGUUGGGAGGAAGGGUUGUAGAUUAAUACUCUGCAAUUUUGACGUUACCGACAGAAUAAGCACCGGCUAACUCUGUGCCAGCAGCCGCGGUAAUACAGAGGGUGCAAGCGUUAAUCGGAAUUACUGGGCGUAAAGCGCGCGUAGGUGGUUUGUUAAGUUGGAUGUGAAAUCCCCGGGCUCAACCUGGGAACUGCAUUCAAAACUGACUGACUAGAGUAUGGUAGAGGGUGGUGGAAUUUCCUGUGUAGCGGUGAAAUGCGUAGAUAUAGGAAGGAACACCAGUGGCGAAGGCGACCACCUGGACUAAUACUGACACUGAGGUGCGAAAGCGUGGGGAGCAAACAGGAUUAGAUACCCUGGUAGUCCACGCCGUAAACGAUGUCAACUAGCCCGUUGGAAGCCUUGAGCUUUUAGUGGCGCAGCUAACGCAUUAAGUUGACCGCCUGGGGAGUACGGGCCGCAAGGUUAAAAACUCAAAUGAAUUGACCGGGGGCCGCACAAGCGGUGGAGCAUGUGGUUUAAUUCGAAGCAACGCGAAGAACCCGUGACCUCAGGCCCUUGACAUCCAAUGAACUUUUCUAGAGAUUAGGAUAUUGCUUGU